rnacentral:rRNA from 1 species
GAAGUAUCUUGGUAUGUAAACCUCUUUUCUCAAGAAAGAAGUUCUGACGGUACUUGAGGAAUAAGCAUCGGCUAACUCCGUGCCAGCAGCCGCGGUAAUACGGAGGGAUCGAACGUUAAUCGGAAUUACUGGGCGUAAAGCGCGCGUAGGCGGUUUGGUCAGUCGGAUGUGAAAGCCCUGGGCUCAACCUGGGAACUGCAUUCGAUACUGCCAAGCUAGAAUAUGGGAGAGGGAAGUGGAAUUUCCGGUGUAGCGGUGAAAUGCGUAGAUAUCGGAAGGAACACCAGUGGCGAAGGCGGCUUCCUGGCCCAAUAUUGACGCUGAGGUGCGAAAGCGUGGGGAGCAAAC